AAUUGUGUUAUUUUCGUUUCGAGAAAAGAUUAAAUAAUUUUGCGUGAAUAUCUGCAAUAAUAAUUUAAGAUAUUGGCAUAUGAUAUUAUGGAAAUGAAUUUUAUGGCGUUGGUUUUUAAAUUUUAGUGUUAAACAUUAGGGCAUAAUGUGCAAAGUUGAAUACUGUAUGCAUGCUGCUGCAGUAAUUAUAAAUCUGCCAAUAUUUAAGUCUAAGUAAGAAAAUUAUUAAUAAUGGGCCGCCACUUUUCAAGAGAAAAAAAUGUUAUGUUGUGAAUGAGUUGAAGUUUCUGCAACACUCAAGUAUGUAAUAUUAAUUUACCAUUUAUUACGGUGCUGUGACUUCAUAAGAAGGACUUGUUACGCUUCAAAUUGUGAGACUUGAAUCCACAGAGAAAUGAUCCAAUGCGACCGAUAUCUCAUUAUGUUUUGCUUUAUAUUAUCCCAGAUAGAAUAUGAAACUUUUGCGAAUGUCUCUGACCUUCAAUUAAUCGUGUUAAGAAAUUGUGACUGUUUCGAUAACACUUGAGUUUUGAUGUGCUUAUAGCAAGAGUAUUUCCAGCAUAACAAUGAUUGUGAAAAGAUGUUCAAUUUAUUCUUGGGCAAUUCCAGGCCAAGACAGGCGAGGUCAAAU